rnacentral:pre_miRNA from 1 species
UAGACUCAUUUUGAAAUAAAUGUGAGCUCGGGAGUAAUGAGGAGUGAUGAAAGGAUUUAUUCAUCGCUCCUGAGCUCACAUUUAUCCCAUAAUGGGUCCUUGACCCUAAUUGAUUCACCAGUAGAGGGACAAGCUUCAUGUAAAUAAGCGU